AACAAAAACAAAACAACAACUUUGCCACCCCACAGAAAAAUGUGUUAAAAUGCCUCAAAUGGAUGACUAAAAUAGCCAGUGGCAUGUUAACACAUUUUUCUGUGGGGUGGCAAAGUCAGAAGAGACAUUUGUGUGACUUUACAGGGACUUUGAAACAGGAAGUCUCACCUCUGCAUUUGAGAUUUGAGUGUUGCAAUGUAUAUGCUAAUGGGGUGUAUUGUGUUAAAUGCUCCAUUUUGGGGUUUUUACAUCUAUAAACACAGUAAAAAGUGAACUAAAGUUGAACUGAUAAUGUAGUAAAUCAUAUUGUAAUCACAAGUUAUGUCAGAAACAUUGCAAGUACAUACACAUUUUACCCAAAUAAUGUAAUACUAAUGUCAAACAAUGUGUCUGUUAUUUCUUGAACACCAGGUCAGGUAUUAUAUUUAAUGCUCUUGCAAUUAGACCCUUUUAUUGUACCCUUUUAUUAUUUUCUUCGUAUGUCUGCACAGAUGAUCUCUAUCUCUCCCUCUCUCUCACACACACGUACAAAUACCGUACAUUUCAGUAUUUUUACCUUGUAUCUCUGAGCAUGUGAAACUCAAAAGUCCUUGAAUCCUCAAAAAUGUCACCUGAGUUUAUGCAAAAUGAGCCCCUAUGAGCUCACUGAUAAGAAGCAUUCAUUAUAUUAAAGUUAACCACACCCACCAAAGGUCCAAAGGUAAAGACCCAGGAGUUACUAAGGUGAGAUCACAAUAACUGUACAGGUUAAAUUGUCAAUGAGCAAAACUGUCACAAGGAAAACUAACUGUGGCCCUAUGCUUCGAAGUAUAUAUACUUUGUGCACAUAACAUCGAUAUUCUCUCCUCACACACACACACUCACACACAGUGAGGGAGACUUCACCUAUGAUCUUUAUUAUCUCAGGCUCAGACACUUGUACCUACUGAACAGGAGAGUUGAAAUUAAAUUAGAUGCUUGGUCAAUGUGUUAAUAAACAGAACAUGAGUGAGCACCAAAUCAAAAUAAAAAUUUCAGUUAAAGUAAUUAAUAUAGUAAAUGAUGAGCAUACAUAUAAAAAUAAUGAAACAGCCUCUGCUCAAGGUUUUCUGGGUGUUAAUUAUUUGACUAAUUUGAUAACUUUAGAUCACAGUUUGAUCACAUUUUUAGUUUUAAAUGUAAAAUCUAGGUUGCUCUCCCACAGCCGGCUUACAAACAACAGUUCAUAUUAUCACAUAUUGUUCUUCAGUGGUGCAACAGAUUAUGUUGACAGAAAUAUGUAACAUGUCGCAAAGUCCUCCGUUUCUCUCCUACACUGUCUCCUUGUUCGUCUUCUUGCUCUGAGUACAGUUUUGUUUGAUUUAACUGUGAUUCUGCAGGACUCUGGCUUCUGCUAAUGCAGCUGUGCCGUCUGGGUUUCUUAUCCGGGGUAUUAGCUGUGAUGCAAUUUUUCCAGAUGUGGAACAAGUGAGAGACAGAAAAAAAAUCUGUUUUUUUUUAGUCGAGCCCCAGGAAAAGCUAUUACUUCCUCCCAACAAAUAAAUGUGUCUGUAAUAGGCAUAGUGUGUUUGGCACUAAGAAGUUUGUUUUUAUUUGUUACUAAUCUGUAUUUUUUUCUCAAAAAUGUAGAUCAUACUCUGAAAAUAAAUAGUUACAUAUGUUAUUUAUGUUAUACAACUGCACUAAGGUAAUAAUAGUCUCUAAACUUGUUUUGGUGUUUUUUUUCUCACCAUAACUUACACAACAGUGUGAACUUUAACAUGGUUUCAUGGUUCUGUAAGUCAAAUAUCCGAGGAAACAGUUCUUAUUACUGUAUCACCAUUUUAUUCAGUUAUGGAAGACUUUAGGCAAUAUUUUAACUGGUUGAGUAAGACUUAAAGACAUUUAGAUGUGUUUAGUGGAGUGAAUGAGGUGGGAGUGUGUGGAAAAACAUGUAGGACUAGUCUCUGCUGUGUGCACAGAAAUUUCACCACAUUGUCUCCCUCCACAGCUGGAGACAAUUGGCACGAGUAGGACAAUGUCACCACCUAGUGGAAUUAUAUGGACGUUACACAGGCAGUUUGCACCAUGGAUGGAUCAGAAAGUGUCCACAAGUCAGAGCUGUUCAUCAGUGAGGUGAUACGGUAUGUGGACAGACAGAGAGACAGCUUGGCUGACACAUCUCACUUGUCAAAGAAAGAGCCAAACAGAUCUGACCGUUGAAAAUACAUUCAAGGCUGAAUGAAGAAGGCACAAAUGAAGAUGAUAGGCUGCUCAGAUGCUCCUGUUGGUCAGACACUGGUUGACCACCUCAAGCAGCGAGGAGUUCUCCAGAGCUGCAGCCACUCUCUCUUUGUCUGCCAGCUGUUUGUUCACUGCACAGAGGAAAACAACAACAUCUCACACAAUAUACCAACACAUUCACAAAUGAGCAGUAACUAUUACACUAGAAUACUUUUGUUUACAGUGUAACUCAUGGUGACCAGAAUAAAAACAGGAAAGCACACAAGGAAUAUUGGUGAGUAAAUAAUACUGCGACUAUCCCAUCUGACUUGCUAUGAUUGUUUUGAUUUUGUUACCUGCUUCCUCUGACGCAUGAGUCCCAGGAGUGAUGUGAACAUCAAUCUGAGCAGAAACAGAAAAACACCUCUGCAUUUAGAGUGGACCUUCAAAAUAAAACUCACAUAGAUGUGUCACAAUAUUGUGUUUAGAUUAACAAAAAGACUCAAAAGGAGUGGUGUUAAAUGUACAUCUCUUCAGCCAAAACACACAAACGUACUUUGAACCUGGCUGGCAGGGAGCGUAGCAGCUUGACUUUGAUUGACAGACCAAUGAGUGUUGCCAUGCUGCAGUGAGGGAUUGUGGGUGUGAACUCAACACCCACUGUAUUCUCUGCAUCAUUCACCUGUGAUAAAGACAAACAGAUAGAUACUUCAAAAACAACAUACUUCUACUUACAGAAUGCCUUAAAGAGUUUACUUAAUUUGUUAAAAAUUGCUUUCAGGGUCAGAGUAUUUAUUUAAGACAUUAGGAUGGAGAGGACAAUGAGUAAUUUGCUGAUAAAGGUUGAAUUGUGAAUGUUAGUUAACUUUUCUCCUGUAAUUUAAAAAUAACAAAGGAGAGGGAGUAAAGGCUGUAGUUAUCUUCCUCUCCCCUGUUCACAUUCUAAUAAACCUGGAGGGAAACAAUGACAAACCAGGAAAAAUAUGAA